rnacentral:lncRNA from 1 species
GGCGACGUCGGGAACGGCGGCGGUCCCACCCUAGGGAGGGUUAGCGAGGGGAGCGGUUCCAGCCUAGGGAGGGUUAGCGGCUAGCGCGCAGGGGCGGGUUGAGGCCUAUGGAUCUGGUUUUCUUUAUUGAGCCGUUUGGUUUUUGAGGGGUUGGAAAAAAAAUCAGUGGGAGGAGAACGUGGGUGGGAGAGCUUGGAUCGAGAGGUAGAACUAUCGCUAGUCGAACCAUCACGACGUUCGAUUCUGCUUUAAUAGCAGAG